rnacentral:lncRNA from 1 species
UACAUCUCUAGCGUAGAGAUUUGGUGCAUCGAUUUUAGGAAGAAAAGAGAAGAAAGAGUUCUUCUCAUGAUCUCUAGCGUAGAGAUCAUUAUCCUCCUAUUUUCUUCUUCUUUUCUAAGAGUGUCUGAGAGAAAAAAAGAUUAUUCAACUGUCAAGAUACGAUCUCUGCAAGAAAGCUAGCACCCCAAUGAAAUCAAGAAGCUUCUGA